CCUACGGGUGGCAGCAGUGGGGAAUAUUGCACAAUGGGGGAAACCCUGAUGCAGCGACGCCGCGUGAGUGAAGAAGUAUCUCGGUACGUAAAGCUCUAUCAGCAGGGAAGAAAAUGACGGUACCUGACUAAGAAGCCCCGGCUAACUACGUGCCAGCAGCCGCGGUAAUACGUAGGGGGCAAGCGUUAUCCGGAUUUACUGGGUGUAAAGGGAGCGUAGACGGCAGCACAAGUCUGGAGUGAAAUCCCGGGGCUUAACCCCGGAACUGCUUUGGAAACUGUGCGGCUGGAGUGCAGGAGGGGUAAGCGGAAUUCCUAGUGUAGCGGUGAAAUGCGUAGAUAUUAGGAGGAACACCGGUGGCGAAGGCGGCUUACUGGACUGUUACUGACGCUGAAGCUCGAAAGCGCGGGUAUCGAACAGGAUUAGAUACCCCUAUAGUC
rnacentral:rRNA from 1 species